rnacentral:rRNA from 1 species
GUAGGUGGCAAGCGUUGUCCGGAAUUAUUGGGCGUAAAGCGCGCGCAGGCGGUUUUUAAGUCUGAUGUGAAAGCCCACGGCUCAACCGUGGAGGGUCAUUGGAAACUGGAGAACUUGAGUACAGAAGAGGAAAGCGGAAUUCCACGUGUAGCGGUGAAAUGCGUAGAGAUGUGGAGGAACACCAGUGGCGUAGGCGGCUUUCUGGUCUGUAACUGACGCUGAGGCGCGAAAGCGUGGGGAGCAAACAGGGAUUAGAUACCCUGGUAGUCCACGCCGUAAACGAUGAGUGCUAAGUGUUAGGGGGUUUCCGCCCCCUUAGUGCUGCAGCUAACGCAUUAAGCACUCCGCCUGGGGAUACGGCCGCAAGGCUG